GAUGAACGCUGGCGGCGUGCCUAAUACAUGCAAGUCGAGCGAACAGGCGAGGAGCUUGCUCCUCUGACGUUAGCGGCGGACGGGUGAGUAACACGUGGAUAACCUACCUAUAAGACUGGGAUAACUUCGGGAAACCGGAGCUAAUACCGGAUAAUAUAUUGAACCGCAUGGUUCAAUAGUGAAAGACGGUUUUGCUGUCACUUAUAGAUGGAUCCGCGCCGCAUUAGCUAGUUGGUAAGGUAACGGCUUACCAAGGCAACGAUGCGUAGCCGACCUGAGAGGGUGAUCGGCCACACUGGAACUGAGACACGGUCCAGACUCCUACGGGAGGCAGCAGUAGGGAAUCUUCCGCAAAGGGCGAAAGCCUGACGGAGCAACGCCGCGUGAGUGAUGAAGGUCUUCGGAUCGUAAAACUCUGUUAUUAGGGAAGAACAAAUGUGUAAGUAACUAUGCACGUCUUGACGGUACCUAAUCAGAAAGCCACGGCUAACUACGUG
rnacentral:rRNA from 1 species